UGACACAGGAAGCAAUUUGUGCAAAGACCAGGCAGGAGCUAACGGCCGGGAUGUGUUUCCAGCAGGAAACAUGAUUUGGGUCGGUAUCCAAUCUGUUCUGUUCUGUUCUGUUCUGCUGCCCAACAGCGCAGCCUCUGGCCUUCUGGUGGAGACACAGUCUGCAUGCAGCCUGUACCUUAAGGUUCUACUUGUCUUUGGUCUGGGUACAUUUAUUUCCCUUUCAAUGUGUUAUUGAUUAUAUAUCUUUGGACAUAGCACCAUAGCAAAUGUCAACGUGGUUCUGUGUAGCCACAGAGUCUGAAGUAGGUGGGACUAAACUCAUCAGUAGACAAAGCUAUGAUUUUUGAAAGCAGAAAAAGAUGGUGGCUUUGGACAUUUUAAUUGCUUCCUCACUGUUUGUGCUUCCAUCUCUAUACAGCAUGCUUCUUGUAAAAAUCGAAAGCCAGCACAGAAAAUAAGAGAAAAACCAAUCAUGUGUAUUGUAGAGUGGGCAGGAGUUUGGGUCUGGAACCUAAGAAGUAGGCAAAGGUGAGUUUCCUUAGCUGGUUGGAUGAUUUCCAACUUGGGACACCAUCUUUGACAGAGACAUUUUUCUCUGGAACCUCAUUUGAAAAUAAGGAUGGCAAGCAACACAGAAGUCAAAACAGCAGAAAUGAACAACUUCACAGGGUGUGUUUUUAAAAUUCAAUUGUAUUUAUUUAUUUAUUUAUUUAAUUUUAUUGAAAAAAUUUUUUAUUCAUUCUUCUCCCAUCUAUUACACCCUGACCAUGGUUUCCCCUCCCCCUCCUUUCAGUCCUCCCUGCCCUCCUGAUCCACUCCUUUUUCCUUUUCCUUUAGAAAAGAGCAGUAUGCCGGGCAUGGUGGCACAUGCCUUUAAUCCCAGCUCUCGGGAGGCAGAGGCAGGCGGAUUUCUGAGUUCGAGGCCAACCUGGUCUACGAAGUAAGUUCCAGGACAGCCAGGGCUAUACAGAGAAACCCCGUCUCAAAAACAAAACAAAACAAAACAAAACAAAAAACCCCAAACAACAACAACAACAACAACAAAACAAAAAAACAACCCCCCCCCUAAAAAAGAAAAGAGUAGCACUUUCAGGGACAUUAGCCGAAUACAGGAUAACACCUUACAAUAUGACUAGGCAUAAACCCUCAUAUAAAGGGUGAGACAACCCAUUAGGCAGAAAAGGGUCCCAAGGACAGGUAAUAGAGCCUGAGAUACCCCUACUUCUAGUGUUAGGGGUCCCACAAAGCCACCAGAGGAUCUAGCACAGACCUACCUAUGCUCCAUGACUGUCACCUCAGCCUCUAUACAGUGCAUUUUAAAGACACUGUUUUAUAUGACCUGCCACAAAACGGCUCCUCACUGACAGGAAAGCAAUCAGUCAAACCUGACUGUAGAAAGGAUGCCCAGUUGUGACAACACAGUAUGUGCACAGCUGUGACACCAUAGUAUGUGCACAGCUGUGACACCACAGUAUGUGCCCCAAGUGCCAGCGACUGGUCACAGUUUUCAAGGAGUUUCUAGUUACUCGGGUGCUAGCGGCACACAUGAAGAAGACAGAAUGUUCUGUCGACAUGGGGCAAGGGAUAUGGGGUACGCAUUCCAGCACAAGGAAUCAUCCUUGGUACCCCUGCAGAGACAAAGCAAAUUUUCUUAGCUUCCUCGUGAAUUUAUCUUGAGAAAAUUACAAAAGAACUCGAAAUUUCAACUCAAGUCAAAACCAAGGAAAUCAAACAGCCUAGCUGCCCCAUAACUGGGCUGUUCAAUUCGCCCAUAAGCACACCCCAGACUGUGGGUAUAUGAAUGAAUCUUUUGAUUUUUUCUGAACCAAAAACGUUUUGGAAUUGUACACUGGGUUAGAAAUGUAAGCCACAUCCAUCUGUUUUUGUUUGUUUGUUUGUUUGUCCAGUUGAAAUUUUGCUAAUGUUAUGCAGUAAGUGUUCUUUUUUUUUUUCCUCUGGUCUGUUGCUAAAUGUAUCUUCAAGGCUGUAGGUUGUGCAAAUCCUUAGGAAACGAGUGAGGAGUAGCCGAGCUGUUUGAUUUGCUGAGUGUUCUCCUCAGGAGCCAGUUCUUUAUGAGUAGUCAACAAAUACUAAAUAAUUAGGGAUGUAGUGAUGGAGGCGCAGCCAGGGGCUAAGUGGCAUUUUCAAGGUUUUAAAUGCAUUAGGAGGAAGACUGGAAUUGAAAUUUAGCGUGCUUAGCUUCUUCCUGAUGCUUGCCACCAUGUCUCUCUAUUUCCUUAAUCACAUAAAGCCAGUGGUUCUUGACUGACCCCUAACCUACUGCUCCGUCAGGCAAAAUUUGGAAACCCCCAGGCAGUGACCUGCUUUUCAAUGGGAGAACUUAUUUACUUCCAGCUGGAACACAUCAAGAAAAGCCAUUUCUCUGAUAGCCUCAUUCUUGCCAAAAGACUGGAAAAUAACUUAUUAGAGAGCCGGCCAUCUCAGGAGCCACAACAACAGCUGCACUGAAUAGAGAACUCGCCGAACGACCGGACACUGUGAAACGAGAUUGACAGAAGCCCACGAAGUCCUCCUUCCAAGCCUCACUUUGAUCUUCCUAACAGAGGUUGUCAGGGGGGAACCCGGAUGCCUCCAUGAUCAGGACGACUUAGCUUGUCUGCUCAUGGCUGAAUUGUCUUUGUAGUCUUUGCGUUUGUGCUACUUGAGGUCACAGCUAAAUUAACAAUGAGGGCUCGUGGCUGAAUGUUACUUUUAGAAUCUCUUUAUAGUUUACAUUUCAAGAUUGUUAAUUAGGCCAUGCAGCCUAUUGGAGAGAUAAAGCCAGUUCAAAAUAUAUGUGUGUAUUUAUGAAGUGACGCUAUUCUAUAAAAGGUAAAGUGUGCUAGCGUCAAGGAAUGCAGGAUUUACAAUACUCAGUCCCAUCACACUACUGAAUAGUUUGUAAGGUAACAAAACGGGCAGCUUAGAGCUGCAGUAUUUGCCAGAUAUACAAAUUUCGUAGGGAUUGUUUGUGCAUAUCGACUGUUCUGACGUCCUUCAGCAGGCUGGCAAUAGCAUUAAUGGAACAUUUCCUUUGUACCAGAGAUUUUAAAAAUUUAAAAAUGAUUUUAAAUGAAGGAAGAGAGAAAUCUAAUUCUUUUUCUUUCUUUUCUUUUUAUAACAUCGUUCUUGGUUCCCGGGAGAUGAUAAAGUGGGAAGUUACAAAACCAAUAAGAAAGAAAACCUAUGGACUUCCACACAUCCUUCCCUGCUCUAGGGGCAAGAGUUGUUCAGUGUGGUGUGACAACUUGUUUCAGCAUCAGGGGCAAGCGCCUGUAUAAGCGUUCAGCAAAGGCUGUCGGAGGAAUGAUUAGGAGUGUAUCGGCAAUAAAGACUGCUGAGACAUGCCAAACUGCCUGGAAAAAGCAUGAGUUCAGAAGCCUGGAAGAAGCAAAGACCAGCCAAGCAGCUUAGAAGAAACAAGAACCAGCCUAGCUGCCAGGAAGAGGCUCACACAAUGGAGGCAUGCAGAACUAACACCCUCUGACCUAUUGAGCUGCCUGCAGGCUGUGCAGUGGGCCCCAGGUUCCCAGUUUUUGUGAGCUGUCAACCAUGGGGGCUGUGGGAGGGCUUUGGUGAUGGAUCUGUCUUUGAGUCAUUUCCGCUCCUGUAAGUAACCUCACAUUUGUAUUUCUGUAAGUAAUCUGGAUAAACCUCAUUGGUCUACCAAGAUAGACUUUGGUAGUAUCUGUACUUGCGUCUGUCUUCAGCUUUUUAUCUGGGGCAGGUAGACCAUUUGUUUAAGUCUCCCCAGGAAUAGUGUUUCACAACAAACAUGGAAUUGUGACAUUUAAAAGAAGGGUGUGCCCUAGAGCUAUUUUGAGCCAUGGUUCAAGUCUAAAGUCAAAGGGUCAAACAUGACUUGUCUUCAUUUCCUAAGCCGCUGAAAAGAUUAGUUCUAGGCGACUGAACAAGAAACCAGAGAAGCUAGUGGGUGCUAGUGAGCUGCUCCCGAAUCCUCCCAGCAGGGUGACUAGCAGACUGGAAUGUUCUUCUCUUGGUAGCUGAUAACCAGGCUGACAGAGAUCCAGGAUGCCCCCUCCCCCAGGCAGAUAUAUGUUCAUUUUGGUCUGCUUGGAAACUAUUCAUAUAAAAAUGGCAUGAAUCAAUCAAUGAUUCAAAUAUAAGGAAAAACAGUUUUAUCUUACCACACAUAUCACCCUACCCCCCCUACCCUAUCACCCCAUCAGGCUAUGAAAGUUUGCUUAAAAUUUUCAUAGUGUCUGUGAGAAUGAGUUACUAAAAGAAAAAUGGCCACCCCUCCCCCGCUGCCUUAUUUCUCUUUGUUUCAACGUGCGCCCCUUUGCGUGAUUUCAGGUUCACUCUGUGUAGAAUUUAAAACAAAAUCUCAGUUACAGAUCCUGAGACAGUCCCUCUUGUCUUUGACCUCAUAUUCAACAUCUACCCCCACGCCCGUCCCUGUCGCCGUGCCUGUUCCCCUUUGCUUUGCCCUUGUAUCUUUUCAUUUCCCUGUCAUUGCACCCGGGAGGACACAGCGCUCCACUUCUGUUAGACGCCUUCUCUGCAGUCUUUGAUUAAACCCUUCUUUGAAGUCUGUGAAACUGGAUACUAACUGACCUGUAAGAAAUUAAAAGGAACUGUAUUUCAUUAUACCAUUGCCCUAAACGAUACUCCUUUUUAAACCAAUUAAGGGGAAAUUUACCUCCCGCUAACAGAAUAAACUCCAAGUUUUCUCUGUGCUCCUGAUACAUAGGUUAACAUAAUGUCUUUCCUCUUUGAAUCUGGUUAAUGCUUUACCUUGCCACAUCGCAGGCUUGAAGUGUUCAGGGGGACGCGAGGUAUCAGUGCCCCCUCCCUCCGGACAACUUCAGCAAACACGCUGAUAUUACGUGCUGGGCAUUGUGCUUCAGAGGAGAACAAAGUCCUAAGUUGGAGUCAUAGCACCAUUGCCCGAGCUGGAGCAUUGGUGAGGAGUAAGAUCUUCAAGGGAAAGCCAGGAGCACGCUCACAUUCUUUGCACAUGCGCCGCAGUGAGCACAGUUAGAAAUCCAAGUCUGACAGAGGUAGGUGCGGGCUUCAAUACUGAGCGACUGUCUGUUGCUAAUGCUUUCACUUCUGAGCUUCCGUUUCGCCCCUGCACCUUUGUGCUUCAAAAGUUCAAGCAGCUGUUACAGUUCAGCCCAGUGUUUCCCCACCUCUUAGGACCCUGCUUGGCAUAGCCGUCCUCGGUGAUUGAUGGAGCUCCACGCCCUGCACCUGGGGGUGGCCCACCUGCAGAGGAGAUUCCUGGAUCAGGGGACACACAGGCAGCUUGACUCUCUCUACACUCUUGGGAGGCUUAAAACUCCCAACUUCCUUUGCAAAGUGAAAGAACUGAGUUGAUUUACAAGACAAAUAAAAUAUCAGAGGAAGUGGGGGUUAGCUGUUACUUACAGCCAGGAGAGAUUUAUGCGAUUACAUAGUAACCGAGCCUACACUUCAAGCUGUAGUCAUUAUGGUCUGCAGAGUUCCAUACCUCAUUAGAGGGAAAUAGGUUUGGAGAAUGGAAACCAGUUAGUCCUCUCGUUGAAAAUGUCCCUGGUUUUGGUGCAGAUGUGAUCCGUAAUCAAAGGAGCGCUCUAUAUCUUUUAUAGCAUCUUCCCAAAGCACACACGUUGGCGUGUGACUUCACUAGGGACUAUAAGUCUUAAUGGAGUUGAGUGGAAAAUCUUAUUGGGAGAAACUGAGGCCAAGUACAUGUUGGACUUUUAGUAACAUAAAAGAAGCAAAUGGCUGAGACAAUGACACCUGGAAAUGUUAUUUUGAGUCUGUUUCUACCGCCCCCAAAACUUCAGUGAAUACAGGAGAGAAAGAGAAGAGGGGAAGCUCUACUGCUUCAUUGGCAUGCCUCACUGCUCUCCACAGCCAAUUCCAUUUCAAAGUCCCUCCCAUCCCGCCCCGGCCCUGCGGCGGUUAUACGUUCCAUAGUCCUGAGGCAAGUUAAGAGACUGAAGGGUGCUUGUGGGCGCAGUGAGCUAUUUUGAGUGUGUUUUUGGAAAAUUGAAAUUGUAGCAAGUCUGUAAAGGCCCAGUCUCAUUCAUAUUCUACAAGGGGAAGGGUCCACGUGGGCCCACAGUCACGUGCCUCAAGAUGCAGGCUCGGUUACGAAACCUUUCUGCAUGCCAUCCCCGUCUUGAUGGCUAAAGCUUGUUCUAUCUGCCUGCAGCAUCAGCAUCACCUGGCUAAUGAUUAGAAAAGGGGGAUGCAAGUUCAUCUCAGACAUACCAAACCUCAGCAUCCUGGGGGCUGGUCGCUGUACACACUAAAGUUGUGUGAUCAUUGUGAAGGCACAGAGAGAGGGGGGUGCAGCUGAGACCCAUGUACUCCUCAGGAAGGCAGUUUGCUGCGGUUUGGAGACAGACAGAUUUGUGUUCAGUAGGGGUUUUCCUUAGGAAAGACUUGUACUUGGUUUGGUCUUUAACUCUCUUCUUUAUUUUUUCCCACGAUGGGAAUGCAAUCCAGAUCUCACCAUAUGGGACAAGCUUUGCAUAGUAGCCCAGUACUGGGGUUUUUAGUCCAUGCAACCUUUGUUUUGUUUUUAUUGUCUCCAUUCCGUUUUAUGUAGACAGGGAGCUAAUAGCAGUUUUCUUGUGCUUGCUGCUAUUGGGUCUCAUGAGAAUGAAUGUUUUAAGUGAUCUUUGAGAAAUAUAUGAGUAAAUAAGUUUUAACUAAAUACAGCAUUUUAGGCCCCGAUAUAGUCUAGCUCCUGACACUGUGCCCAUUAAAGUUAUGAAUAUUAAUUUAUAAGGGAGGCUAUGUUUCAUAAUGAUUAGCAGUUUUGGUUGCCACCUCCUCUCACCCAGAAUGGAAUUAUUCAAAUUUUAAAUUAUAAGUGAAGACUUCCUCCUAGCCCUGCAUCUCACUCUUUAUUGUAUGUAAUUGCAUUCAAUUUCAGAGAGAGAGGACCGUGUGCUGAGUAUGAUCUCAUUUUACACAAUGUUUCCUAAGCUUCUUUGUCUCGAAGUGAAGAGCGAUUUGGUCAUGGACGACAGUCAUUGGACAGACUGAGGUAACUUAUCUGACUUUGGAGAAGGAAGAUACAUGAAGUUCCUUCAGAGAUUGGAUUUUUUUUUUUUAAUGAGAUAAGU